CCGAUAUUUUCAGAAUGAAAGAAGUCUUUUUUUCAAUGAUAUAUCCAUGAAUCCAUCUCCCACCUCUCCCAUACUCUGCUCGACCGUCUCCCAUGUCCCAUCCGCAUGCGUCGGCGCCCAAGCAAUGAGGACCACCCUGGCUUGCCCCCUUGCCUGGCGACUGCCAGAUCGAGGUCGCCGGAGCCGAAUUCAUGCAGAUCGAGGUCGUCGUCACGUGUGGCCCUCCUUUGCGAGCCACCUAAUCUCGCUCUCCACCUCAGGCCGAAGCUGUGCCUCCCAGGCGAGGCUACACUACCUAUGUGUGCCCAACGCUAGAGGACGGCGUCGACCAUGGAGCAGAUCCCAGCGGUGGGGUCCGACGCGGUGGUCAUCUCCAACGAGCGGUCGUCGACGUCGGCGAGCAGGGCCCUUUGGUCGCCAGCCCUCCUCCCUCCUCCUACUGCUAUCUUCCCCGCCCGGAGAAUCCAGAGAAACACGGUGCCUUCUUCCAGCUUAUGUGGAUUUGAUGCAACUUAGUGACUUCGUAAAUACUGGAGCUUCGGAGGACGUUCUCCUUUUCUCGCAUGGAUGAGACACAGCCAAAACAACAAGUGUGUAGCUUCCAGUGAGCGAAGCAACAACAAGAGGUAAAGUAAUGAGAUUCUUUUUUCUCUACAAUCGUUCUUUGUUUUCUAUUGUAAAAAGAGACGAGUUACUUCACACUCUAUUUGUUUGUAAAGGUAUUUCAACCAAAUCAUAAUCAUCUGAUUAUGAUUUGGUUCAUCUAGAAACCCAAACAAAGAAGAUAUGGGCCAGUGGUGGUUGAUGCAGGCUUAUCGGUGGCGUAUAGGAACGACAUCAACCUGCCUAUCACGGCAAAGGGGGGCCAAGCUGGAGAUGUGUCGGCGAUAAACAAUCUCAGGCCUAGGAAAGUAAGAAUCCUUUUCUAUUAUGUGGACCAUGCUUACAAACCGGAUGACGAUUUGUUGUGAUCACAUGUUAGAUUAUGCGGUCGGGUUACCAAAGUUGAGUCUGAUGCGUACUAGUGGAUCUGCAUGUCAGAUGAUGGAGCAUGAGUGCUCAAGAUAAAACUAUGGUGAAGCGACCCAAGCUCUCAAGACUUCAUAUUUUUCAUAGCAUUGAUGAUGUUGUUUAAAUUUAUUAAAAAAAAUAGGUUACCGAAACUUGUCAAAGAGAAUCCUGUAAAAACAUUAGGUAAAAAUGAUUUUAAAUUGAACGAAUGGAUUUCUUGCUCCGGCCUUGAUGCCUAAGCGGGCCAGCCUUCCCGCCUCAUCUGGGGGCCUAUGGGCAGGAGUCACCGCCUUGGUAGGCCGCUUAGUAGAUGGGUUUGCUUCUCCAACGCAGGUACUAGCAAGAACCAACAAGGCCAAGACUCUUUGGAUCGAGAAAAUGCAGAUGGACGAGAGCUGCAUCUAUAAUUGAUUGGCAAGCCACGGAGAGGUAUGUUCCUCUCGCUCUCCUAUGCAAUACCGUUGAAAUAUGUGGCAUGAUUCUUUUACUCUGUUAGAUAUCGGUUUUUCUCGCGCUUGUUCAUGGGCCUCGAUGUGUUAUUCAAAUGGAUCUAUGGGUUAAUUCAAAUGGCAUUCACUAUAGGUAAGGUGUACGCGCUUAUUCUUAUGUAUAUAUUAUCUUUUGAUUGUUGGAGUGCAAUAUGAACUGUUGUUGAUGUUGUAAUGAAUUGCGAUGGAUCUUUUGUUUGUUAGAGGUUGCUAGCCAAGAUAUCCCUGAUGUAAUAAUGGUUGGCUGCAAAUAAUUUUUUGUUCGGUUCUUUGUUGAGUCUUACAUGCAUGUCAUAGACAGGAUCCUCUUUUUUGCUCCUCUUUCAAUAUACCGUCAUUCAUUUGGUUGCAUGCACAGUGACAUACUGGUGGUGCUUCUGACCAAAUAAAAUCACUGUGCUUUUAGUUGGUGAAUAUCAAUGUUUGGUUAGUUGUAUUUGUGUGUGCAUGUUGUUCAUGUGAAUAUCAUGGCAUUGGGGCGUAAUUAUACAAUGGAACGUCAUGUGUAGGGUGAAGUCGUUGCUAUGUACACUUUCUUUCAAGUUGAAAGCGCCGUGCAGUGCAGUGAUCAUCAUACUGAUGCACGACAUGGCUUGUCCACCCAUCGAUGCCAGUCGUUAUAUGUUACUAUGCUGCUGAUUAAAAUGGUGGCUAAUAUCGACUCUGUAAUGCUUCAAAAUGAUUUCUUCUUCGUAAGGUCUCAACAACUCCUCAUCGCUAGAUUUGCGCAAUGUCAUACAGACAUUGUGAAUAGUUCUGGGAAAAUAUGACACCUUGAAACAUCAACAAGUUGAAAAGCAUUUGUGUUUUAGGAUCUAAAAGUUCGUUCCUGGAAAGCAAGCAUUUGAGGACUGGGUACGACCAGAAAACAUUCAGGUAGGGUUAGUUCUUUUAUGUGUGCUUAUGCUCUUUUGAUAGAGAUUGUUGAAUUGGUUUGUGGUUUCUUGGAUCAAUUGCAUGCCACAGUUAUGGUGUCUAAAUCAAGUACAUGGCUAGAUAGCUCCCAGCCUCCACUGGAAAAUGGAUGUGAUGAAGGAAACUGCAGUCUGGUCUCCCGCUGCCCUAGCCUGGACAAGCUUGAAGGUCCCUUUUUAUCCUUGAGAAAUUGAAGCAGUGGAUGACACUUCUCAAGUUUUUGGUAGUUAAAUGUAUAAAUGUAUUCGGGUUAGGUUAGACAAGGGUUGAACUCCUCAAAAAGAAUCUUUUGAAUAAGAGUUAAAGCCUUCUAGGGCUUCUAUUAGUGA